rnacentral:lncRNA from 1 species
GCACGAACUAGCAGCCCAGCUGCUGACCUUGUCCAUCCCCAUUCCCCAAGCAGUCAAGCCCGCAUCACCCACUCGUCUCUCCCCUUCUCGUGCAGCACGCAGCCGCGGAGGAGGCGCCGCCGCGCGAGAUCUUGCACGCGCCGGCGCGCUCGUCCCUUCCCCCUCCGCCGCCGUAGCCAGUCCACGAAUCAGCCGCAAAUCCUUUCUGCUCUCCGUGCUUGCUCGAUGCGCGAGGGCUCCAGAUCUCGGAGGACGAGGUGGCCCUGGCUCGUGACCGAGGCUUGAGGCUUUAUGCAACGGGGAAUAUGAUCUGGUUGUUCGUCAUGUGUUUCCUUUGUUCGUUUUUUUUCUAAUCGGAAUGAUGUUUAGUUGCGAGCUUCAGUUCCAAUCAGCGCUCACAAAUUUACUCCUUUUCUUUUCUUUACCUUUUCGCGGGCUAGAAUUUCUUUUAGCUACUGCUUCUGGUGCUGGAUUCAUGGAUGCUAAAAGGCUAAGCUUGUGCAGCUGUGCUUCUGCUUCACACACCGUUUGCUUGCUGCCCGGCCUGGAGGCUUUCGCCCUCGCGCCGCCGCUUGGAGCGCAACCCGCCGCGGUCUUGUGCUCUCUACCACCUCAGCUCGCGAGCCCAAACGAGCUGGGUCGAGCUUUUCACGAG